GAGCAUGUGGUUUAAUUUGACGCAACGCGAAGAACCUUACCAAGGCUUGACAUCCUUCGAACCCUUUAAAGAUAAGAGGGUGCCCUUCGGGGAACGAAAAGACAGGUGGUGCAUGGUUGUUGUCAGCUCGUGUCGUGAGAUGUUGGGUUAAGUCCCGCAACGAGGGCAACCCUUAUCCCUAGUUGCCAGCGAGAGAGUCGGGGACUUUAGGGAGACUGCCCGGGACGACCGGGAGGAAGGCGGGGAUGACGUCAAAUCAUCAUGCCCCUUAUGUUUUGGGCUACACACGUGGUACAAUGGGCGGGACAAACCGAAGCGAAGCCGAGAGGUGGAGCGAACCGGAGAAAGCCGUUCCCAGUUCGGAUUGCUUUUUGCAACUCGAGAGCAUGAAGGCGGAAUCGCUAGUAAUCGCGGGUCAGCAUACCGCGGUGAAUACGUUCCCGGGCCUUGGACACCCCGCCCGUCCCCCCCCGAAAGUCGGCAACCCCCGAAGUCGGGAGGUACCUUUAAGGAGCCAGCGCGAAGGUGCUCGUAUAUG
rnacentral:rRNA from 1 species